rnacentral:rRNA from 1 species
UGGGGAAUUUUGGACAAUGGGGGAAACCCUGAUCCAGCCAUCCCGCGUGUGCGAUGAAGGCCUUCGGGUUGUAAAGCACUUUUGGCAGGAAAGAAACGUCAUGGGUUAAUACCCCGUGAAACUGACGGUACCUGCAGAAUAAGCACCGGCUCACUACGUGCCAGCAGCCGCGGUAAUACGUAGGGUGCAAGCGUUAAUCGGAAUUACUGGGCGUAAAGCGUGCGCAGGCGGUUCGGAAAGAAAGAUGUGAAAUCCCAGAGCUCAACUUUGGAACUGCAUUUUUAACUACCGGGCUAGAGUGUGUCAGAGGGAGGUGGAAUUCCGCGUGUAGCAGUGAAAUGCGUAGAUAUGCGGAGGAACACCGAUGGCGAAGGCAGCCUCCUGGGAUAACACUGACGCUCAUGCACGAAAGCGUGGGGAGCAAACAGG